UCCUUUUCUUCUAAGGACAGUGCUCAUACA
rnacentral:piRNA from 1 species